rnacentral:rRNA from 1 species
AGCAUAUCAAUAAGCGGAGGAAAAGAAACCAACAGGGAUUGCCUUAGUAACGGCGAGUGAAGCGGCAACAGCUCAGAUUUGAAAUCUGGCCUUCGGGUCCGAGUUGUAAUCUGUAGAGGAUGCUUCGGGUGAGGUGCCUUCCGAGUGCCCUGGAACGGGACGCCAGAGAGGGUGAGAGCCCCGUACGGUUGGAUACCAAGCCCAUGUGAAGCUCCUUCGACGAGUCGAGUAGUUUGGGAAUGCUGCUCAAAAUGGGAGGUAAAUUUCUUCUAAAGCUAAAUACCGGCCAGAGACCGAUAGCGCACAAGUAGAGUGAUCGAAAGAUGAAAAGCACUUUGGAAAGAGGGUUAAAAAGUACGUGAAAUUGUUGAAAGGGAAGCGCUUGCGACCAGACUCGCGCCCCGUGGAUCAUCCGGUGUUCUCACCGGUGCACUCCGCGGGUCUCGGGCCAGCAUCGGUUCGCCCAGGGGGAUAAAAGCUCUGGGAAUGUGGCUCUCUUCGGGGAGUGUUAUAGCCCACUGUGGAAUACCCCUGGCGCGGACCGAGGACCGCGCCUUGUGCAAGGAUGCUGGCGUAAUGGUCGUCAGCGACCCGUCU